AUUGAACGCUGGCGGCGUGCUUAACACAUGCAAGUCGAACGAAGUGGCGAACGGGUGAGUAACGUGUAAUCAACCUGCCCUUCAGAGGGGGACAACAGUUGGAAACGACUGCUAAUACCGCAUACUGAAGGAGGGGAUUGUGUCUGAUUAGCUAGUUGGUGGGGUAACGGCCCACCAAGGCGGUGAUCAGUAGCCGGUCUGAGGGGAUGAACGGCCACAUUGGGACUGAGACACGGCCCAGACUCCUACGGGAGGCAGCAGUGGGGAAUCUUCCGCAAUGGACGAAAGUCUGACGGAGCACAGCCGCGUGAGUGAUGACGGCCUUCGGGUUGUAAAGCUCUGUUAAUCGGGACGCGUUACCGGAAUAGAAAGCCACGGCUAACUACGUGCCAGCAGCCGCGGUAAUUC
rnacentral:rRNA from 1 species